rnacentral:rRNA from 1 species
GUUUCAGCAGCCGCGGUAAUGCGUAGGGUGCAAGCGUUAAUCGGAAUUACUGAGCGUAAAGCGUGCGCAGGCGGUUAUGCAAGACAGAGGUGAAAUCCCCGGGCUCAACCUGGGAACUGCCUUUGUGACUGCAUGGCUAGAGUACGGUAGAGGGGGAUGGAAUUCCGCGUGUAGCAGUGAAAUGCGUAGAUAUGCGGAGGAACACCGAUGGCGAAGGCAAUCCCCUGGACCUGUACUGACGCUCAUGCACGAAAGCGUGGGAAGCAAACAGGAUUAGAUACCCUGGUAGUCCACGCCCUAAACGAUGUCAACUGGUUGUUGGGAGGGUUUCUUCUCAGUAACGUAGCUAACGCGUGAAGUUGACCGCCUGGGGAGUACGGCCGCAAGGUUGAAACUCAAAGGAAUUGACGGGGACCCGCACAAGCGGUGGAUGAUGUGGUUUAAUUCGAUGCAACGCGAAAAACCUUACCUACCCUUGACAUGCCAGGAAUCCUGAAGAGAUUUGGGAGUGCUCGAAAGAGAGCCUGGACACAGGUGCUGCAUGGCCGUCGUCAGCUCGUGUCGUGAGAUGUUGGGUUAAGUCCCGCAACGAGCGCAACCCUUGUCAUUAGUUGCUACGAAAGGGCACUCUAAUGAGACUGCCGGUGACAAACCGGAGGAAGGUGGGGAUGACGUCAGGUCAUCAUGGCCCUUAUGGGUAGGGCUACACACGUCAUACAAUGGCCGGGACAGAGGGCUGCCAACCCGCGAGGGGGAGCUAAUCCCAGAAACCCGGUCGUAGUCCGGAUCGUAGUCUGCAACUCGACUGCGUGAAGUCGGAAUCGCUAGUAAUCGCGGAUCAGCUUGCCGCGGUGAAUACGUUCCCGGGCCUUGUACACACCGCCCGUCAAAC